CGCCCCUGAUAAGAAAGGGAGUGGAACCCCUGUUAAUAGGACUACAGCCUACCGCCUGGUCGCUCGGC
rnacentral:tRNA from 1 species